GUUGCACACAAACCCAAAGGUCAUUAUAUUCAUGUGUAAUGUUCUUGCUAUGUGUGCGCAAAGAAAAAUCCAAGGACCUUGUCGCCUUUCAUACGCUCUUAUGUGCCAAUGGAAGUGAAUUCAAGGUUCAACGUGU
ensembl:snoRNA